UUUUAGUUUAUUUGAAAAUUUUAAGUUGUGGUCUUAGAGAAUAAAAAG
rnacentral:tRNA from 1 species